rnacentral:rRNA from 1 species
GUGGAUUAGAUACCCUGGUAGUCCACGCCGUAAACGAUGAGAGCUAGUUGUCAGUAAGUAUACUUAUUGGUGACGCAGCUAACGCUUUAAGCUCUCCGCCUGGGGAGUACGGCCGCAAGGUUAAAACUCAAAGAAAUUGACGGGGGCCCGCACAAGCGGUGGAGCAUGUGGUUUAAUUCGAAGCAACGCGCAGAACCUUACCCACGUUUGACAUGUCGAGGUAUUGGACCAGAGAUGGACCAAGCUCUUCGGAGCCUCGAACACAGGUGCUGCAUGGCCGUCGUCAGCU